UUCCCAGUAACGUUGUUCUCCAUCGUUCUCAAUCUCUCCACCAUUAUCAACAUCGUGAUGCUCCGUCAUGCUUAGUCUCUCUGCCCUGUAGCUGCAUCUUCCAAUGGAGUCUCAAUCUCAAGUACUUAAAUGAAUAAAAACUUUUCUCAAAGAUGCUAGAGUUGUCGAAAGGAUGCAUAUGCAGCUGAUGACCGUAAAAAUGUAACGGGAGAAGAUGAAAAGAGUACAUAUUUAGGAGAAGAGUCUUUGAGUGACAAAGAGCCUUUAUAAGCGUUGGAAAACAUUACAUUUCCCUUGCCUACAAAUUAUAAGCCUUGCGAGGGAGGCGUUGCAUGCCUGAUGUCCCCUGUUUGAACCUUGCAUCUCCUACUCUUGAAGUGGGCAUGUGGAGCUCCUCUGGUAGUUCGGCGGCAUGCGGAUCUACAAUGCACCGGAAAAGUAGUUGAAGAUUCUUCAUCUUUUCGUGAUGAAAAGUUCAUCUGGCCUGCAGUGAGGAAAGUUUACUUCAAUCACUGGGGUCCUGAUGAGUGAUCUAGAGUCCAAAGGACGACCUCUAUUUAGAGUGAUAGUUGGUGGUGGUAAGCAGAUUGGCUUCUACUCUAAGGAAUGAGUUUGCUCCUGGAUACAUUUGUCUACACUAAUAUUUGAUGUUUUUUAUUACUACUUGAUAGUAAUAAAGCUGUCGUGUGAUUGAAUACACUGGUGAACUUGUUAGACUUCUCAUAGCAAAUGUUGACUGCAAAAUUGCCUGUCCAUCAUAGGAAUGACAAAUGCACAUUUAUUAUUACUCUUAUCUUAUUAUGCUUAUUUUUUUUAUU